rnacentral:rRNA from 1 species
AUUGAACGCUGGCGGCAUGCCUUACUCAUGCAAGUCGAACGGUAACAGGUCUUCGGAUGCUGACGAGUGGCGAACGGGUGAGUAAUACAUCGGAACGUGCCCGAUCGUGGGGGAUAACGAAGCGAAAGCUUUGCUAAUACCGCAUACGAUCUACGGAUGAAAGCAGGGGACCGCAAGGCCUUGCGCGAACGGAGCGGCCGAUGGCAGAUUAGGUAGUUGGUGGGAUAAAAGCUUACCAAGCCGACGAUCUGUAGCUGGUCUGAGAGGACGACCAGCCACACUGGGACUGAGACACGGCCCAGACUCCUACGGGAGGCAGCAGUGGGGAAUUUUGGACAAUGGGCGAAAGCCUGAUCCAGCCAUGCCGCGUGCAGGAUGAAGGCCUUCGGGUUGUAAACUGCUUUUGUACGGAACGAAAAGACUCUGGUUAAUACCUGGGGUCCAUGACGGUACCGUAAGAAUAAGCACCGGCUAACUACGUG